UACGUAGGGGGCAAGCGUUGUCCGGAAUUAUUGGGCGUAAAGCGCGCGCAGGCGGUCAUUUAAGUCUGGUGUUUAAUCCUGGGGCUCAACCCCAGUUCGCAUCGGAAACUGGACGACUUGAGUGUAAGAGAGGAAAGUGGAAUUCCACGUGUAGCGGUGAAAUGCGUAGAGAUCGGGAGGAACAUCUGUGGCGAAGGCGGCCAUCUGGACCAGCACUGACACUGAGGCACGAAAGCGUGGGGAGCAAACAGG
rnacentral:rRNA from 1 species